UGGCUGAGCGGUGAAGCGCUUGGUUUCUGAACCGGGGGUCCCGGGUUCGAAUCCCGG
rfam:Biomphalaria glabrata isolate BB02 unplaced genomic scaffold LGTN_random_Scaffold749, whole genome shotgun sequence.